rnacentral:rRNA from 1 species
UACGGGGGGGGCAAGCGUUGUUCGGAAUUACUGGGCGUAAAGGGUUCGUAGGUGGCUUGCUUAGUCAGACGUGAAAUCCCUCAGCUUAACCGGGGAACUGCGUCUGAUACUGGAUGGCUCGAGUUUGGGAGAGGGAUGCGGAAUUCCAGGUGUAGCGGUGAAAUGCGUAGAUAUCUGGAGGAACACCGGUGGCGAAGGCGGCAUCCUGGACCAAUACUGACGCUGAAUAGCGAAAGCCAGGGGAGCAAACGGG